ACCUGGGAUAGCUCCGUUGGUAGAGCAUAAGACUCUUAAUCUUGGGGUCAUGGUUUUGAGUCCCACAUUGGGGG